rnacentral:rRNA from 1 species
AUUGAACGCUGGCGGCAGGCCUAACACAUGCAAGUCGAACGCGAAAGUCCUUCGGGAUGAGUAGAGUGGCGGACGGGUGAGUAACGCGUAGGAAUCUGUCCGGUAGUGGGGGAUAACGUUCCGAAAGGAACGCUAAUACCGCAUAAGCCCCACGGGGGAAAGGGGGGGAAUCUUCGGGACCUCCCGCCAUCGGAGGAGCCUGCGUCGGGUUGGCUAGUUGGUAGGGUAAAGGCCUACCAAGGCGACGAUCCGUAGCAGGUCUGAGAGGAUGAUCAGCCACACCGGAACUGAGACACGGUCCGGACUCCUACGGGAGGCAGCAGUGGGGAAUAUUGCGCAAUGGGCGAAAGCCUGACGCAGCCAUGCCGCGUGUGUGAAGAAGGCCUUCGGGUUGUAAAGCACUUUCAGUGGGGAGGAAAGGGGGAUGGCCAAUACCCAUCACCGGUGACGCUACCCACAGAAGAAGCACCGGCUAAUUCCGUGCCAGCAGCCGCGGUAAUAC